rnacentral:lncRNA from 1 species
CUCCUGAGUUCUUCUGAAAAAUAUAGAAUUAUAGUUGGAUAAAUGUCCUUUUGUGAAGAUGUCAUCACAGUAUGGAUAUUAAAAAUAACACUGCACGGAAUAAGUACAAAAAGAAGCUCCUCAAGAGACACUAUUUGCUGACUGCUACAAAGAAGGGAAGAAACAACAGUGACGGCACAGUCAACAAAAAUGGAAGGGAUCUGUUGCAGCUCUGUAGAAGCCUGGACCUAUCUGCUGCCUUUGAUACUGUGAACCAUCAGAUCCUCCUCUCCACCCUCUCCGAGUUGGGCAUCUCCGGCGCGGCCCAC